rnacentral:tRNA from 1 species
GAGGAUAUAGCUCAGUGGUAGAGUGCGUGCUUAGCAUGCACAAGGUCCUGAGUUCAAUCCCCAGGACCUCCA